CGUACACACGUCAUACAAAUAGGCGUGGUACGAGAAGGGUUGCCAACCCGCGAGGGGGAGCCAAUCCCAUAAAGCCAUUCGUAGUCCGGAUCGCAGUCUGCAACUCGACUGCGUGAAGUCGGAAUCGCUAGUAAUCGUGGAUCAGAAUGUCACGGUGAAUACGUUCCCGGGUCUU
rnacentral:rRNA from 1 species